rnacentral:rRNA from 1 species
AGAGCGAACGCUGGCGGCAGGCCUAACACAUGCAAGUCGAGCGCCCGUAGCAAUACGGGAGCGGCAGACGGGAUAGUAACACGUGGGAACGCGCCCUUCGGUUCGGAAUAACUCAGGGAAACUUGAGCUAAUACCGGAUACGCCCUUACGGGGAAAGAUUUAUUGCCGAAGGAACGGCCCGCGUCCGAUUAGCUAGUUGGUGAGGUAAUGGCUCACCAAGGCGACGAUCGGUAGCUGGUCUGAGAGGAUGACCAGCAUCACUGGGACUGAGACACGGCCCAGACUCCUACGGGAGGCAGCAGUGGGGAAUAUGGACAAUGGGCGCAAGCCUGAUCCAGCCAUGCCGCGUGGAUGAUGAAGGCCUUAGGGUUGUAAAGUCCUUUUAACGGGGAAGAUAAUGACGGUACCCGUAGAAUAAGCCCCGGCUAACUCGUGCCAGCAGCCGC